GCAUAAGGCGGGACAGCACAGUUGGUAGAGUGUAAGACUCUUAAUCUCAGGUUCGUGGGUUCGAGUCCCGCAUUGUGCA